CUUCACCCCGGGAAAAACGUGGAUGGAGAGUUGGUGGGGUAUGGUAGCGCACAACCGUUUGACAAGGUCCAUUUCAAGUCUAAUACUAACACUAGUAGAAAAAAUGAAAUAGGCACCUGACUUCGCACCGGUUUGAACCGGUGCGAAUUAAAAAAGAGAAAAAAAAAGGAGAAAGGGGUUUCGCACCGGUUCAGACCAAACCGAUGCGAAAUGAUGUUACUAGCACCGUGCGAAAUUAAAAAAAAAAUAUGAAAAAAAUUCCACUGACCCUUCUUUCUCUUUCAUUCCCCUCUUCUUUCUUUUUGUUUCCUCAGCGCCAUUUUAUCUCUCUCUUCUCUCUUCUCUCUCCUCUCUCCUCAAACAAACCCUAAUCAACGACCUCCUGCUCCUUCCUUAUCUUCUUUCUCUUCUUCCUCUUCUUCCUCUUUCAUGUUGUCGGCGUGUUGGUCGGUCCUAGCAACGGCGGCAAUGGCACAAGGAGCUGGUACAAACCCACCUCUCGUCAUUUCCCCCUCCCGAAAUGAUUUUCCCUGAAGGAUUUCUAUGAGGAUUUAUUCGAGGAACUAAACAAGUACGGGGAGAUUAAGAGUCUCAACAUUUGUGACAAUUUGGCUGACCACAUGCAUAAGCACAGAGACGCCAUUCUCUUUCUAGUUGAAAAUCAUGCUACAACCAUUGUUGUCGGCGAAACUGGCAGCGGAAAAACUACUCAAAUUUUAUUGUUUCGAUUGUUAAUUAAUUUUGAUGAAUUUUGUUUGUUUUUGUUGGAAUUUCUAGUAUUUGAAUGAAGGAGGAUGGACUGAUUCUGGUCAUGUUAUUGCUUGCACUCAGCCUCGCCGUCUCGCUGUUCAGAGUUGUCAUGGUAGAUGAAGCACAUGAAAGGUCUAUUUCAACAUAUGUUGUACUUGGUCUCUUGAAAAAGAUUCAAAGGCGUAGGCCUGAACUGCGUUUGAUUAUAUCAUAUACGAGUGCAACUGUACAAGUUUUGACAGUGGUUUCCAUUCCCUAUUUCCUCUUCUGGUGCAGGAUGGCAUCCACAAUGCUUAUUGAAAAGCUCUCAAUGAAUCUCUGCAUGAUUUCAAGUACUAAUCUGGGGUAGUUUUCCAUGAGCUAAAGGAGUUUUACCCCCUGAGCUUUGGAGCCUGAAGGAUGACAGAGUAAGCUAUGGCGGAAGAUGUGGAGUACUUUGUACACCUUUGAGGAUUACACAAUAAGGAAAAUGUCAGCAGAAGAGGAAAGGCAAAGGCAGGUUGGCAUAGCAGAAGUCCCUACGUCGAAGUAAGGCCCGGUUCAAAACCGGUGCUAAAUAUCUUUGUUUUGAACCGGUGCGAAAUGUAUGGGGUUUUAGCACCCCCCAAAUAUAAGGACCGGUUCAAAACCGGUGCUAAAUGGGGGGUUUGAACCGGUGCGGAUUACGUGUUUUCGCCUAGUGUAAUACCCACUAUAUCUCGGUCGGCUUCAAUUCCAUAGUACCUGGGUUUGAGGACUUGCCACUACUGGUGCCUAGAGAGGAAUAUGACUUCAUCACGCUGCUUGAUGCGAAAGGUAGCUUUGUGCAAUGGCCACGUGAUCGGGUGAGGUUGAUAGGAGGGGAAGAAGGUGGAGAAGCCAAAAUUUAAGAAUGUCCGACCUACAAAGAACAUGAUUAAGGAUAAGGGUUGAAGAAGAGUUCGAGAGGUUCUGCCACGAGUUGUACUCCACUAGUAGAACCCGAUGUCCUUCAUUCGCUCUCUAAAGCUUCUACUUUUCUUCACAACCGUGUUAGUGAGUUGCCUAGGGGUAGAUCUAUUGAAGUGAAUUUACCUAAGGCAUUGUUCCACUAUGAUGAGGAUGGGAUCGCACCAAUUGCAAAAGAGGAUGUGAAGGAAUUUCUAUCCGGUGCCAUGCUUAACAUUUCCAUCAAGAUUUCAUGAGGGCACUACAGGAGCACUUUGGUAGUGGAUGCAAUUCCGAGGCUGCAGUUGGGUGGUUUUACCCCGAGCAGACCUCCAUUACCAGAUGCUUAUGCAACCCUCGUGAAGUGGAAGAUUACCUAGAACGGAGUAUUAAGGAAUCAACGUGUGCGGGAUAUAAGUUCAUAUUAGCCCCAUGUUUUGAGGAUGCUCAUUGGAGCCUUUUGGUGAUUUGUGUUUCCAAAAACACAAUCUACCACUUUGAUUCAGUUCGUGAGACUCCACCACGGAAGUUGCUGGUGAAGAACCUAUUGAAUAGAGUGUUAUGAAGAAGCUAAAUUGUCGUUCAGUUGUGGGUCCUACGUGGAAAUAUGCAAAGUGUGCGCAACAAGACAACGAACUUGAUUUUGCCCUAUACGUGAUGAGGUUUAUGCUUGACAUAGUCAAUAGUUGCAUGGAAGCACAACACCUAUAUGAGGCAGCUGCAGUAACCAAGACAGGCAGGCCAUACCACUGCAGCAGCCCAGGCAGGCAGGCCAGGCAGCUGCAGCAGCCAAGGCAGGCUGCCCAGGCACCACUGCAACAGCCCAGCCAGGCAGCUGCACAGCAGCCUCUACAUGCACGUGAUUUUGGUGCAUUUCGGUGAUUUUGUUUUGCAAGGUUCAAAGAGAAGGCUCGUUAACAAGCAAGGAAAUCAAUGAAGAUCGCGACAUGUGGGCUUUUUUCGUCACAUUUGAUGGCAUCUAGCUAGAAUUGUCGUAAUGGUUAUAUUGGUUUUUUAGCUUAACUUUAUUAAUUAGUUAUUAUCAACAUUAUAUAUUUUAAUUAAGUACAUGUUAGUACGUUGUAUUUGUAAUUGUAAUCUUAAUAUUUGUUUGGUGUAAUUAAAUAUUGUUGUUCAUUAAAUAUAUUAAUGAUGUU